GAUGAACGCUGGCGGCGUGCCUAAUACAUGCAAGUCGAGCGAACGGACGAGAAGCUUGCUUUUCUGAUGUUAGCGGCGGACGGGUGAGUAACACGUGGAUAACCUACCUAUAAGACUGGGAUAACUUCGGGAAACCGGAGCUAAUACCGGAUAAUAUUUUGAACCGCAUGGUUCAAAAGUGAAAGACGGUCUUGCUGUCACUUAUAGAUGGAUCCGCGCUGCAUUAGCUAGUUGGUAAGGUAACGGCUUACCACGGCAACGAUGCAUAGCCGACCUGAGCGGGUGAUCGGCCACACUGGAACUGAGACACGGUCCAGACUCCUACGGGAGGCAGCAGUAGGGAAUCUUCCGCAAUGGGCGAAAGCCUGACGGAGCAACGCCGCGUGAGUGGUGAAGGUCUUCGGAUCGUAAAACUCUGUUAUUAGGGAAGAACAUAUGUGUAAGUAACUGUGCACAUCUUGACGGUACCUAAUCAGAAAGCCACGGCUAACUACGUG
rnacentral:rRNA from 1 species